rnacentral:rRNA from 1 species
CAGCAGCCGCGGGAAUACGUAGGUCCCGAGCGUUGUCCGGAUUUAUUGGGCGUAAAGGGCUCGCAGGCGGUUUCUUAAGUCUGAUGUGAAAGCCCCCGGCUCAACCGGGGAGGGUCAUUGGAAACUGGGAAACUUGAGUGCAGAAGAGGAGAGUGGAAUUCCACGUGUAGCGGUGAGAUGCGUAGAGAUGUGGAGGAACACCAGUGGCGAAGGCGACUCUCUGGUCUGUAACUGACGCUGAGGAGCGAAAGCGUGGGGAGCGAACAGGAUUAGAUACCCCCGUAGUCCCUGUCUCUUAUAC